rnacentral:rRNA from 1 species
AGCAGCCGCCGCGGGAAUACGGAGGGGGCUAGCGUUGUUCGGAAUUACUGGGCGUAAAGCGCACGUAGGCGGCUUGGUAAGUUAGAGGUGAAAGCCCGGAGCUCAACUCCGGAAUUGCCUUUAAGACUGCCGAGCUAGUAGGUGAGAGAGGUAAGUGGAAUUCCGAGUGUAGAGGUGAAAUUCGUAGAUAUUCGGAAGAACACCAGUGGCGAAGGCGGCUUACUGGCUCAUUCUAGACGCUGAGGUGCGAAAGCGUGGGGAGCAAACAGGAUUAGAGACCCCUGUAGUCCCUGUCUCUUAUAC